GAUGAACGCUAGCGGGAGGCCUAACACAUGCCAGCCGAGCGGUAGAGUUUCUUCGGAAACUUGAGAGCGGCGCACGGGUGCGUAACACGUGUGCAACCUACCUUUAUCUGGGGGAUAGCCUUUCGAAAGGAAGAUUAAUACCCCAUAAUAUAAUGAUUGGCAUCAAUUAUUAUUGAAAACUCCGGUGGAUAGAGAUGGGCACGCGCAAGAUUAGAUAGUUGGUGAGGUAACGGCUCACCAAGUCAAUGAUCUUUAGGGGUCCUGAGAGGGAGAUCCCCCACACUGGUACUGACACACGGACCAGACUCCUACGGGAGGCAGCAGUGAGGAAUAUUGGACAAGGGGUGAGAGCCUGAUCCAGCCAUCCCGCGUGAAGGAUGACGGUCCUAUGGAUUGUAAACUUCUUUUGUACAGGGAUAAACCUACCCUCGUGAGGGUAGCUGAAGGUACUGUACGAAUAAGCACCGGCUAACUCCGUG
rnacentral:rRNA from 1 species